rnacentral:rRNA from 1 species
UCGCGGAUCAGCAUGCCGCGGUGAAUACGUUCCCGGGCCUUGUACACACCGCCCGUCACACCAUGGGAGUCGGUAACACCCGAAGCCUGUAGUCUAACCGCAAGGAGGACGCAGUCGAAGGUGGGAUUGAUGACUGGGGUGAAGUCGUAACAAGGUACC